CGGCAAAAGCUCAAAUUUGAAAUCCCCCCGGGGAAUUGUAAUUUGAAGAUUGUGUCUUGGAGACGACCGUGUCUAUGUUCCUUGGAACAGGACGUCACAGAGGGUGAGAAUCCCGUGCGGCACGGCCACCGUCCUCCUUAUAAGACACUCUCGAC
rnacentral:rRNA from 1 species